rnacentral:rRNA from 1 species
UACGAAGGGUGCAAGCGUUACUCGGAAUUACUGGGCGUAAAGCGUGCGUAGGUGGUUUGUUAAGUCUGUUGUGAAAGCCCCGGGCUCAACCUGGGAAUGGCAAUGGAUACUGGCAAGCUAGAGUGCGGUAGAGGGUAGUGGAAUUCCCGGGUGUAGCGGUGAAAUGCGUAGAGAUCGGGAGGAACACCAGUGGCGAAGGCGGCUACCUGGACCAGCACUGACACUGAGGCACGAAAGCGUGGGGAGCAAACAGG